rnacentral:rRNA from 2 species
UACGGAGGGUGCGAGCGUUGUCCGGAAUCACUGGGCGUAAAGGGCGCGUAGGUGGCCUGAUGAGUCAACGGUGAAAGCUCGUCGCUUAACGACGAGUCGGCCGUCGAUACUGUCGGGCUGGAGCACUGUAGAGGCAGAUGGAAUUCCGGGUGUAGCGGUGGAAUGCGUAGAGAUCCGGAAGAACACCGGUGGCGAAGGCGGUCUGCUGGGCAGUUGCUGACACUGAGGCGCGACAGCGUGGGGAGCAAACAGG